AUCGAACCUGUGUCCUCAUGGAUGCUAGUUGGGUUCAUUAACCCCUGAGCCAUUAUGGGAACUCCCCCCCCUUUGUGUCUCUCUCUGUCUGUUUCUCUUUCCCUGUCUCUCUGUCUCUCUCCUGUCUCUCUGUGUCCCUCUGUCACCGACUAUCUGUCUCUCUCUCAUACAGGUGUAUUGGAUCCACUGUCUGACUGCCUUGCAACCCCUGCAUCUUCCUGAGGCCUCCAGUCUGAAGAAGCUCCAGAACAAUGACAAUCUCCACACCAUCCAGGCUGCCUUAGAGCCCAGCGAAUAUUCAAACAAGUCCUCGCAUAUGCAUGACCGCAGCAGUGCUGUCGUGAAAAAUUACCAAGCCACAAUCACCAAAACAUGGAAACAGUCCAAGAGGAAAACAAUCUAAGAUCAACUCCAAAAUCAAGGGGAUGGGGGUGGAGGAAAUGAGUGGAUUAAUCAAAUGUGGCUCGGGAGUUCCCAUUGUGGCACAGUGGAAAUGAAUCCAACCAGGAACCAUGAGGAUGCAGGUUCGAUCCCAGUCCCUCCCUGCCCAUUGAGUUAAGGAUCCAGCGUUGCUGUGAGCUGUGGUGUAGGUUGCAGAUGUGGCUCGGAUCUGGCAUUGCUGUGGCUGUGGCAUAGGCCAGUAGCUACAGCUCCGUUUGGACCCCUAGCCUGGGAACCUCCAUAUGCCAUGGGUGCGGCCCUAAAAAUACAAU
rnacentral:lncRNA from 1 species